GGCUCCAUAGCUCAGUGGUGAAAGCACUGGUUUAGUAAACCAGGGGCUGUGAGUUCAAUUCUCAAUGAAGCCU